rnacentral:tRNA from 1 species
AAUAAGGUGGCUGAAAUUUUUAAGCAGAAGACUGUAAACCUUCCAAUGGAGACUCUCUCCCCUUAUUA